rnacentral:tRNA from 4 species
GCCGGAGUGGCGGAAUGGCAGACGCUUCGGUCUUAAAAACCGAUGGGGGCAACCCCGUACGGGUUCGAGUCCCGUCUCCGGCACCA